ensembl:rRNA 5S_rRNA 5S ribosomal RNA
GUCUACAGCCGUAUCACCCUGAACACGCCUGAUUGCGUCUAAUCUCAGAAGCUAAGCAGGGUCGGGCCUGGUUAGUACUUGGGUGGGAGACCACCUGGGAAUACCAGGUGCUGUAGGCU